CCUCUUGCAAAAUCAAUGUAUAAGAGGUCUCGCCUGCCCUGUGACUAUAUGUUUAACGGCCGCGGUAUUUUGACCGUGCAAAGGUAGCGCAAUCACUUGUUUUUUAAAUGGAGACCUGUAUGAAUGGCAUCACGAGGGCUUAACUGUCUCCCCUCCCCAGUCAAUGAAAUUGAUCUUCCCGUGCAGAAGCGGGAAUAAAAACAUAAGACGAGAAGACCCUAUGGAGCUUAAGAUACCAAGACAGCUCAUGUUAAGCACCCCAAAAUAAAAGAAUAAAACCAAAUGAACUCUGUCUUAAUGUCUUUGGUUGGGGCGACCGCGGGGAAAUACAAAACCCCCAUGUGGAGUAGGAGUACAAUAUUCCCAAAUUCAAGAGUUCCCACUCUAAUAAACAGAAUUUCUGACCUAUAAGAUCCGGCAAUGCCGAUCAACGAACCGAGUUACCCUAGGGAUAACAGCGCAAUCCCCUUAAAGAGCCCUUAUCGACAAGGGGGUUUACGACCUCGAUGUUGGAUCAGGACAUCCUAAUGGUGCAGCCGCUAUUAAGGGUUCGUUUGUUCAACGAUUAAAGUCCU
rnacentral:rRNA from 1 species